CCUACGGGCGGCAGCAGUGAGGAAUAUUGGUCAAUGGCCGGAAGGCUGAACCAGCCAAGUCGCGGGAAGGAAGAAGGAUCUAUGGGUUGUAAACUUCUUUUAUAGGGGAAUAAAGGGAGCCACGUGUGGAGAUUUGCAUGUACCCUAUGAAUAAGCAGCGGCUAACUCCGUGCCAGCAGCCGCGGUAAUACGGAGGAUGCGAGCGUUAUCCGGAUUUAUUGGGGUUAAAGGGUGCGUAGGUUGUUUUUUAAGUCAGCGGUGAAAGUUUGUGGCUCAACCAUAAAAUUGCCGUUGAAACUGGCAGCCUUGCGUGUGUUUGAGGUAGGCGGAAUGCGUGUUGUCGCG
rnacentral:rRNA from 1 species